rnacentral:rRNA from 1 species
GAUGAACGCUAGCUACAGGCUUAACACAUGCAAGUCGAGGGACCGGCGCACGGGUGAGUAACACGUAUCCAACCUGCCCUUUACUCGGGGAUAGCCUUUCGAAAGAAAGAUUAAUACCCGAUGUAAAGGAUGGAUAUGCGUUCCAUUAGGUUGUUGGUAAGGUAACGGCUCACCAAGCCUUCGAUGGAUAGGGGUUCUGAGAGGAAGGUCCACCACAUUGGAACUGAGACACGGUCCAAAAUCCUACGGAGGGCAGCAGUGAGGAACAUUGGGCAAUGGGCGUUAGCCUGAACCAGCCAAGUAGAGUGAAGGAUGAAGGCUUAUGGGUCGUAAACUUCUUUUAAAUAAGAAUAGGUAUUAUAUGAAUAAGGAUCGGCUAACUCCGUGCCAGCCGCCGCGGUAAUUC